UCAAAAUGAUGAAAUUCCACUUAAUGGUCCGUGUUUCUGAAACGCAUGAUAUUAGUGGAAAUUCUGAUUUG
ensembl:snoRNA SNORD18 Small nucleolar RNA SNORD18